rnacentral:rRNA from 1 species
UACGGUUGCAAAGCUGAAACUUAAAGGAAUUGACGGAAGGGCACCACCAGGAGUGGAGCCUGUGGCUUAAUUUGACUCAACACGGGAAACCUCACCCGGUCCGGACACUGGAAGGAUUGACAGACUAAAGCUCUUUCUUGAUUCAGUGGGUGGUGGUGCAUGGCCGUUCUUAGUUGGUGGAGUGAUUUGUCUGGUUAAUUCCGAUAACGAACGAGACUCUCGCCUGCUAAAUAGUUUUCCAUACGUUACUUUAUGGAACCUAAAACUUCUUAGAGGUACAAGUGGCGUUUAGCCACACGAAACAGAGCAAUAACAGGUCUGUGAUGCCCUUAGAUGUCCGGGGCCGCACAUGUGCUACAAUGAAUGCAUCAACGUGUAUCAGCCUCGCCCGAAAGGGUUGGGGAAUCCGCUGAACGGCAUUCUCAGUAGGGAUUGGGGAUUGCAAUUAUUUCCCAUGAACACGGAAUUCCCAGUAGGCGCCAGUCAUCAGCUGGCGUCGAUUGAGUCCCUGCCCUUUGUACACACCGCCCGUCGCUACUACCGAUCGCUCUUGUUAAUGAGCUUGUCGGAUUGGACCCGGUGAGCAGUCGUUGCGCUUCAUCUCCUCGCGGGGUGGGCCUUCGUCUGCGAGCUUUUGGUGUAUGCCGAGAAGAUCGGCAAAUUAUCUGGAGUAGAGGAAGUAAAAGUCGUAUCAAGGUAUCCGUAGGUGAACCUGCGGGAUGUAUCAUUACUGAUGUAUGAAAAAAGAGCGCAGUAUUAUGCUUUUCCUUACGGAACAGCACUGCAUCGUGUGACAUCCCCUCUCGAGAACAUGAGAAGACACGGAGGCGGAUGGUAUUCAUUUCACACGAAGUUUCGCCGGCGGCGGACUCCCGACGGACGGUACGGUACGGUACGGCGACCUCGAACCCAGCAGAGGAUGCCUACGUACGUACUGGAAGUCGGUGGAGGCCGUCCGCUUGCAACUUCGAACCCUAUCUAUUGUCUAGGGGAAACAAUAAAAGGCUCCGGGAAGGGAAACCCGGGUUAAGAAAAACUCCCGUACAUAGAUACGUACUACUCUGUGCGGUGGAUCACUCGGCUCGUGUGUCGAUGAAGAGCGCAGCUAGCUGCGAGAAGUAAUGUGAAUUGCAGAACCACAUUGAAACAUCGACAUCUUGAACGCACAUGGCGGCCUCCGGGUUACUCCGGAGGCCACGUCUGUCUGAGAGUCGGAAUUGUAGUGCUUUAAAAAUCGGCGGUCACCACCAAAAUAUAUGUCGUAUACAAUAGACACGAUAGGUGGAUGUCCGCGAGGGUUGCUUCUCGGUAGAAAGAUACAUACAAAAAGUAAAAGAGAAGCCGCCGAGUGGCGAGUUGUUGAAAGUAGCCCAGCGAAACAACGGAACAAACCCUCGGAAUAAGAAAGAAAAAGACGUGCUGUACGAAAAAGUGCAACG